rnacentral:ncRNA from 1 species
GAGAGCACAGUACGAUGAAAGUUGUAAGCUGUGUUCGGGGGGGGGGGGGGGGGGGGGGAGUUAUUGUCUAUCGUCGGC